rnacentral:lncRNA from 1 species
UUGGCAACCUCACAUAUUUUCUACGAUUUAUUUAUUUAUUUAAAAGCUUACAAAAUUGUUUCUGAUGCUAUAAUUUUAAAAAUAGUAAAAACUAAUAACCAAAACCAGUGAAACAUGCGAUAAUAUCUUUAACCUAAGCACCUAACAAGCUUUUUCCAUGAGACACGUUGUACAUACUUUGAGUGGGAUGCGAUAACAAACAUUCCAAUAAUGGCUUUCAUUGAACAUGUUGCUUUUCUCAAGUGGAAACUACUGCUCUUCUCUCUCAAUGUCCCACUAUCUCUCUCUCCCUAUAUAUUUAUACACAAACCCCGAAUGCAUUAUUAUUAGCAUAGAAGCUUGAUUUUGCUCAAAAAAAAAAAAGCUUGAUUUGUUAG